ACAGGAUGUCGCAGUCAUCAGGGAUUGCAGUCCUCCAACAUGAGCCAGUGAGUGCAGUGAAACUCAGGAAGAAAAGAAUACCUGCCAUCUAGCAUCUGACUGCAGCCUCUCCUUAAGGCCACAAUGCACUGAACAAGCAGAUCUGCAUCUUGCUUAUCCUGGAUACUAGAAUACCUCUUCCUUGACUUCCUUCCUUCAGUCAAAUUCUAACACUUCACUCCUGACCCCCACUCCACUCUGCCUUCAGGCACUUCAGUUUCUUCAAGUCCUGCUUCUGGAAGGGAUCAGAUAAAAUCAACGAUGCUAAGGUUAAAAUAAAUAAUUCAAAAAU